UGGGGAAUUUUGGACAAUGGGCGAAAGCCUGAUCCAGCAACGCCGCGUGUGUGAAGAAGGCCUUCGGGUUGUAAAGCACUUUUGUCCGGAAAGAAAUGGCUCUGGUUAAUACCUGGGGUCGAUGACGGUACCGGAAGAAUAAGGACCGGCUAACUACGUGCCAGCAGCCGCGGUAAUACGUAGGGUCCAAGCGUUAAUCGGAAUUACUGGGCGUAAAGCGUGCGCAGGCGGUUGUGCAAGACCGAUGUGAAAUCCCCGAGCUUAACUUGGGAAUUGCAUUGGUGACUGCACGGCUAGAGUGUGUCAGAGGGGGGUAGAAUUCCACGUGUAGCAGUGAAAUGCGUAGAGAUGUGGAGGAAUACCGAUGGCGAAGGCAGCCCCCUGGGAUAACACUGACGCUCAUGCACGAAAGCGUGGGGAGCAAACAGG
rnacentral:rRNA from 1 species